UGUAUUCACUACUGUAAGUUGCUCUGGAUAAGAGCGUCUGCAAAAUGACUAAAA
rfam:Salmo salar isolate Sally breed double haploid chromosome ssa06, whole genome shotgun sequence.